CGGGGGGGCGGAGGCAGGCAGCAACCAGUCAGAAGUUGCUACUCAUGACACCACAGCAGUGGGUGGGGGAUGGCUGAGGGGUUCAGCUAGCUACCCUUCGCGAAAUAAAAACCUCGCAUCUUUUGAACACCGUGGCUAGUGUCCCUAUCGUCCUGUCUGCCCCCCGCACGAGUAUGUCAGACACGUACCAAGGCCCACGGUGUGUUCCCAAGACGGCCAGUGCGCCUAUCACGAGAAGUGCUGUCCUGAUGCCUGCCUUAACUAUCACACCUGUCUACCUGCGGACCCAAAAUGAUCUGGCCAUCAAGACCUACACGUCCUGGCCUUCUUAACCCGAGAAAGUAGGAGAAAGAGAGAAAUCUGAGUAAUUAAGGUGAAAUUGUUAUUGUUGUUUGAUUGUUUUGUUAUUUUUCCUUGUUUUAAGUUCAGAAAUAGCUAUUUUCUUGUCAGGAAGAUUUUCUCUAAAUAAUAAAUGAGUAAUGCUUU